AUUCAAAUAGUUUAAUUAAAAUCUUGAUUUGUGAUGUCAGGGAUGUCAUACGGACUUUGGAUU
rnacentral:tRNA from 1 species